rnacentral:rRNA from 1 species
GGACCGGUUAACCCUUCGGGGUGAAGCUGAGAAUUUAAGCGCCAGUAAACGGCGGUGGUAACUAUAACCAUCCUAAGGUAGCGAAAUUCCUUGUCGGGUAAGUUCCGACCUGCACGAAUGGCGUAACGACUUUCCGGCUGUCUCAACCACAGGCCCGGCGAAAUUGCACUACGAGUAAAGAUGCUCGUUACGCGCGGCAGGACGGAAAGACCCCGGGACCUUUACUAUAGUUUGGUAUUGGUUUUCGGUUCGGCUUGUGUAGGAUAGGUGGGAGACUGUGAAGCUGGCACGCUAGUGUUGGUGGAGUCGUUGUUGAAAUACCACUCUGGUCGGAUUGGGAAUCUGAACCUCGGACCAUGAUCUGGUUCAGGGACAGUGCCUGAUGGGUAGUUUAACUGGGGCGGUUGCCUCCUAAAGAGUAACGGAGGCGCCCAAAGGUUCCCUCAGCCUGGUUGGCAAUCAGGUGUUGAGUGCAAGUGCACAAGGGAGCUUGACUGUGAGACAGACAUGUCGAGCAGGGACGAAAGUCGGGACUAGUGAUCCGGCACCACCUGGUGGAAGGGGUGUCGCUCAACGGAUAAAAGGUACCCCGGGGAUAACAGGCUGAUCUUGCCCAAGAGUCCAUAUCGACGGCAUGGUUUGGCACCUCGAUGUCGGCUCGUCGCAUCCUGGGGCCGGAGUAGGUCCCAAGGGUUGGGCUGUUCGCCCAUUAAAGCGGCACGCGAGCUGGGUUUAGAACGUCGUGAGACAGUUCGGUCCCUAUCCGCCGCGCGCGUAGGAUACUUGAGGAAGGCUGUCCCUAGUACGAGAGGACCGGGACGGACGAACCUCUGGUAUGCCAGUUGUCACGCCAGUGGCAUGGCUGGUUGGCCACGUUCGGAAGGGAUAACCGCUGAAGGCAUCUAAGCGGGAAGCCUGUUCCAAGAUGAGGUAUCCCACCCCAUGUGGGUUAAGGCCCCCAACAGACCAUUGGGUUGAUAGGCCAGAAAUGGAAGCACAGUAAUGUGUUGUCGAGUUGACUGGUACUAAUAGGCCGAGGACUUGCCCA